rnacentral:sRNA from 1 species
CUGAUUAUUAGCAUCAUUCAUCGAAUGGUGGGUUAGCGCGCGUCGACUUUGCAGUGACCAAGAAACCCGCCAAACGAGGCGGGUUUU